UCCAGACUCCUACGGGAGGCAGCAGUGGGGGAUAUUGCACAAUGGGGGGAACCCUGAUGCAGCGACGCCGCGUGGGUGAAGAAGCGCCUCGGCGCGUAAAGCCCUGUCAGCAGGGAAGAAAAUGACGGUACCUGACUAAGAAGCCCCGGCUAACUACGUGCCAGCAGCCGCGGUAAUACGUAGGGGGCAAGCGUUAUCCGGAUUUACUGGGUGUAAAGGGAGCGUAGACGGUAGAGCAAGUCUGAAGUGAAAGCCCGCGGCUCAACUGCGGGACUGCUUUGGAAACUGUUCAACUGGAGUGCUGGAGAGGUAAGCGGAAUUCCUAGUGUAGCGGUGAAAUGCGUAGAUAUUAGGAGGAACACCAGUGGCGAAGGCGGCUUACUGGACAGUAACUGACGUUGAGGCUCGAAAGCGUGGGGAGCAAACAGGAUUAGAUACCCUCGUA
rnacentral:rRNA from 1 species